UACGGAGGAUCCGAGCGUUAUCCGGAUUUAUUGGGUUUAAAGGGUGCGUAGGCGGCCUGGUAAGUCAGGGGUGAAAGACGGUAGCUUAACUAUCGCAGUGCCCUUGAUACUGCUGGGCUUGAAUGUAGUUGAGGUAGGCGGAAUGUGACAAGUAGCGGUGAAAUGCAUAGAUAUGUCACAGAACACCAAUUGCGAAGGCAGCUUACUAAGUAUGAUUGACGCUGAGGCGCGAAAGCGUGGGGAUCAAACAGG
rnacentral:rRNA from 1 species